rnacentral:tRNA from 1 species
GGGACCAUGGCUCAGUGGUAGAGUAUUUACUUGCCAUGCAGAAGGCCCAGGUUCAGAGGUGGGAUCCAGCAGGUUCUCA